GCCGAAGUGGCGGAAUUGGUAGACGCUCUGGACUCAGGAUCCAGUGGAUGCAAAUCCGUACCGGUUCGAAUCCGGUCUUCGGCACCA
rnacentral:tRNA from 1 species